GUGGGGAAUUGUUCGCAAUGGGCGCAAGCCUGACGACGCAACGCCGCGUGGAGGAUUGAAGAUCUUCGGGUCGUAAACUCCUGUCGAGCGGGACGAAUACCCUUCGGGUGAAUAAUCCGGAGGGCUGACGGUACCGCUAAAGGAAGCCCCGGCUAACUCCGUGCCAGCAGCCGCGGUAAUACGGGGGGGGCAAGCGUUGUUCGGAAUUACUGGGCGUAAAGGGCUCGUAGGCGGCCAACUAAGUCAGACGUGAAAUCCCUCGGCUUAACCGGGGAACUGCGUCUGAUACUGGAUGGCUUGAAUCCGGGAGAGGGAUGCGGAAUUCCAGGUGUAGCGGUGAAAUGCGUAGAUAUCUGGAGGAACACCGGUGGCGAAGGCGGCAUCCUGGACCGGUAUUGACGCUGAGGAGCGAAAGCCAGGGGAGCAAACGGGAUUAGAAACCCCGGUAGUCC
rnacentral:rRNA from 1 species